CCUGCGGGAGGCAGCAGUGGGGAAUAUUGCACAAUGGGCGAAAGCCUGAUGCAGCAACGCCGCGUGAGCGAUGAAGGCUUCGGGUCGUAAAGCUCUGUCCUAAGGAAGAUAAUGACGGUACUUGAGGAGGAAGCCCGGCUAACUACGUGCCAGCAGCCGCGGUAAUACGUAGGGG
rnacentral:rRNA from 1 species